AGCUUUGUGCAACGGCUGCAUCGUAGCCAACAAGGUUAAUCUGAGGUGCGGUUACUGCUAAUUGAAAAUUUGUUUUAUAUGAUUUAUGCUGUACUUGUGAUUUUCUAUUACGUUCUUAUUAUUUAUUGUUUGGGAUUCAUUUGAAUGA